AUACGGAGGGUGCGAGCGUUGUUCGGAAUUAUUGGGCGUAAAGAGCAUGUAGGCGGACUGUUAAGUCUGGUGUGAAAGCCCGGGGCUCAACCCCGGAAGUGCAUUGGAUACUGGCAGUCUUGAGUAUGGGAGAGGAAAGUGGAAUUCCGAGUGUAGGAGUGAAAUCCGUAGAUAUUCGGAGGAACACCAGUGGCGAAGGCGGCUUUCUGGACCAAUACUGACGCUGAGAUGCGAAAGCGUGGGGAGCGAACAGGAUUAGAAACCCUAGUAGUCC
rnacentral:rRNA from 1 species